rnacentral:rRNA from 1 species
GACGAACGCUGGCGGCGUGCCUAAUACAUGCAAGUCGAGCGCUUAAGGUUGGUACUGGUUCCAACUUGGUGAUCAACGGACGGGGGAGUAACGGGUGGGGAUUCUGCCUUUAAGCGUGGGACAACAUUAGGAAACGGAAGCUAAUACCGCAUAAAGACUUUAAACACAAGUUUUAAGUGUGAAAGAUGAAAUUGCAGCACUCAAAGAUGAUCCCGCGUUGUAUUAGCUAGUUGGUGAGGUAAAGGCUAACCAAGGCGAUGAUACAUAGCCGACCUGAGAGGGUGAUCGGCCACAGUGGGACUGAGACACGGCCCAAACCCAUACGGGAGGCAGCAGCAGGGAAUCUUAGGCAACGGAAGAAAGCCUGACCGAGAAACGCCGAGUGAGUGAAGGAGGUUUUCGGAUCGUAAAACUCUGUUGGUAGAGAAGAACGUUGGGGGGAGUGGAAAGCUCAUCAAGUGACGGUAACUACCCAGAAAGGGACGGCUAACUACGUG